AUUGAACGCUGGCGGCAUGCCUUACACAUGCAAGUCGAACGGUAACAGGUUAAGCUGACGAGUGGCGAACGGGUGAGUAAUACAUCGGAACGUGCCCAGACGUGGGGGAUAGCUCGGCGAAAGCCGGAUUAAUACCGCAUAAGCUCUGAGGAGGAAAGCGGGGGACCGUAAGGCCUCGCGCGUUUGGAGCGGCCGAUGGCAGAUUAGGUAGUUGGUGGGGUAAAGGCUUACCAAGCCUACGAUCUGUAGCUGGUCUGAGAGGACGACCAGCCACACUGGGACUGAGACACGGCCCAGACUCCUACGGGAGGCAGCAGUGGGGAAUUUUGGACAAUGGGCGAAAGCCUGAUCCAGCAAUGCCGCGUGCAGGAUGAAGGCCUUCGGGUUGUAAACUGCUUUUGUACGGAACGAAAAGGCGCCUACUAAUACUGGGUGUUGAUGACGGUACCGUAAGAAUAAGCACCGGCUAACUACGUGCCAGCCGCCGCGGUAAUAC
rnacentral:rRNA from 1 species